rnacentral:rRNA from 1 species
UGGGGAAUAUUGGACAAUGGGCGAAAGCCUGAUCCAGCCAUGCCGCGUGUGUGAAGAAGGCCUUUUGGUUGUAAAGCACUUUAAGUGGGGAGGAAAAGCUUAUGGUUAAUACCCAUAAGCCCUGACGUUACCCACAGAAUAAGCACCGGCUAACUCUGUGCCAGCAGCCGCGGUAAUACGGAGGGUGCGAGCGUUAAUCGGAAUAACUGGGCGUAAAGGGCACGCAGGCGGUUAUUUAAGUGAGGUGUGAAAGCCCCGGGCUUAACCUGGGAAUUGCAUUUCAGACUGGGUAACUAGAGUACUUUAGGGAGGGGUAGAAUUCCACGUGUAGCGGUGAAAUGCGUAGAGAUGUGGAGGAAUACCGAAGGCGAAGGCAGCCCCUUGGGAAUGUACUGACGCUCAUGUGCGAAAGCGUGGGGAGCAAACAGGAUUAGAUACCCUGGUAGUCCACGCUGUAAACGCUGUCGAUUUGGGGGUUGGGGUUUAACUCUGGCGCCCGUAGCUAACGUGAUAAAUCGACCGCCUGGGGAGUACGGCCGCAAGGUUA